rnacentral:ncRNA from 1 species
AUAGUUCAGCAGGCAGCAACACAACAUCGUGAGCCUAUGGCCCUUCUGCGAGGCAUCGCAGCUAGGCUUCGGGGAUGCUGCCCGCGCUCGAACCGUAACAAAACCACAAAACGCCGUCCUCCUACUGCUCCUACUGCAGCAGAGGCGAAACGAGGAAACGAGUGCGUCUGCUCCCAACUUGGCGCAUGCGUUUUACGGUGAUCAUGUGGACAGAGCCAACACGCAACGCCGGGAGGAGCCACUUCCACUCACGACCUCUUCGUUCAAUUUCGCCCGGAGAAGUAAAAACAACCAAAACAUAGAACUGACAUACGCAUGCCUCUGACGUAGGUGCUCACUGUUGGCUGCGCCAGAUCCGUGGUAUUGACAGCGCUGUCGAUUGCUCUUCACGUCGCGCGCUAGAGUUAGCAGAUUUCGGCGACUUGGCUCGUUUGAAAGUUUGCUGGCCAGAUUAAUAAAUAUUUAGACGGAAUUACAUCGCGAAACUUGGCAUGUGGUCUUCCUAUAUGAUGCUGAAGAGGGCUACAUAGUUUUCUCAAUAUCAAAAAUGAAGCGGAGUUGCCCUUUAAGACAGCAGGACGGUGGCCAUGGAAGUCGGAACCCGCUAAGGAGUGUGUAACAACUCACCUGCCGAAGCAACUAGCCCCGAAAAUGGAUGGCGCUCUAGUGUCGAGCCUAUCCCCGGCCGCUGCCGGCAGAUGCACGCAAACAAGGGGGUGCUAAGCUGCAGCGAGUAGGAGGGCCGCUGCGGUGAGCGUUGAAGGUGUCGGGCGUAAGCCCGCCUGGAGCCGCCGCUGGUGCAGAUCUUGGUGGUAGUAGCAAAUACUCAAGUGAGAACCUCGAGGACUGAAGUGGAGAAGGGUUCCAUGUGAACAGCAGUUGAACAUGGGUCAGUCGGUCCUAAGGGAAAGGAGAAGUUCUUUCCGAAGCGGGAGCACUUUUUUGCAGUGGAAAGAGCCCCGCAGUGACCGAAAGGGAAUCGGGUUAAUAAUCCCGAACCCGGACACGGAGAUUGGUCCUUCGGGGCCCAGUGCUGUAACGCAAACCAGCUCGGAGACGCCGAUGCGAGCCCCGGGAAGAGUUUUCUUUUCUCUGUAAGGAGAUCGAGUCCCUGGAAUGGGUUCGCCCCGAGAUAGGGAUGGUGGCUCCGUAGAGCAGUGCGGUCUUGCGCU